rnacentral:lncRNA from 1 species
GAGCGGGGUCCCGAGGUAGAGGGACUGGGGCCGGCUGAGGGUGAACUGGGGGACCCUGUGGUGGCGCUUGCUGAUGUGGUGGGGGCACUGGAAUGUGCUGUGGCGGCACCUGUUGGUACUGUGGCUGUGGUACCGGAUCGUACCGCGGCUGUGGUGCCGGGUGGUAUCGUGGAGGAAUAGGCUCCUGCCGGGGUGGCUCGGGAUCAGCCUGCUGUAGCGGGGGCUCAACCUGCGCUAGCGGAGGAGGUCCCGGUAACUCCCUUCUCUCCUCUUGCCUUUGCUGGGCAGCUGCGAGAGCCUCCACCAUCUCGAAUAGUCUAUCUAAAUCCUCCCGAAUUGAAUUAUCUGGGGCCGCUCGGUUUAGUGGGGGCCUUCCUCUCC